GAUGAACGCUGGCGGCGUGCCUAAUACAUGCAAGUCGAGCGAACAGAUGAGGAGCUUGCUCCUCUGACGUUAGCGGCGGACGGGUGAGUAACACGUGGAUAACCUACCUAUAAGACUGGGAUAACUUCGGGAAACCGGAGCUAAUACCGGAUAAUAUAUUGAACCGCAUGGUUCAAUAGUGAAAGACGGUUUUGCUGUCACUUAUAGAUGGAUCCGCGCCGCAUUAGCUAGUUGGUAAGGUAACGGCUUACCAAGGCAACGAUGCGUAGCCGACCUGAGAGGGUGAUAGGCCACACUGGAACUGAGACACGGUCCAGACUCCUACGGGAGGCAGCAGUAGGGAAUCUUCCGCAAUGGGCGAAAGCUUGACGGAGCAACGCCGCGUGAGUGAUGAAGGUCUUCGGAUCGUAAAACUCUGUUAUUAGGGAAGAACAAAUGUGUAAGUAACUAUGCACGUCUUGACGGUACCUAAUCAGAAAGCCACGGCUAACUACGUG
rnacentral:rRNA from 1 species